GGAUCACUUGGAGAAUUUCAGAUCUCUCAUACUCUUACAAGGGGCAAAUGAUGUGACCCUCUGCUGAGCUUUUUCUUUGACCUUGAGGAAGGUUGCCAGCCACUGGUAUUUAAGUUUGCUACCAAACAUUGCGGACUCCUUCCAUCGGCUAAGCUGAAUGUUCAUCGCAUACUUCAUCAGUAGUCAUCAACAACAUCGUAACUCAGACUUUUUUAUCAGCAUAAAGUAGC
rnacentral:lncRNA from 1 species